rnacentral:misc_RNA from 1 species
AAACUGUUAGCCUUCUACCUUGUGCAUUCAUUUUACUAUCUAAUAGUCUUAGACUAGUCAAUCUCCACAAAUAAUUCUUUUAUCCUUCUAUUUUAAUUCUGUUGCUUUUACAGGUGGUUCUGGCAGUUUUCACAAUUUGCUUUGACUCUCUUUUAGCCAGAGUUGAAUCCUUUACAUUUCCAUAUUUCUACCCUAUGAGCUAUAUUCUUAUAUGUUCCUGGCCGUGAUCAUUAAUUUAACCAUUCAAAACUUCUAUACAAAGUCCUUAUUUUAUUUCUUUCCAGAUUUCCAUCAGCCAGUUUGUAUUCCAAUCCUUCUUUCAUGCUCUAAUUUCAAUUAAAUCAAAACACUGUUAUUAAUUGAUCUUACUCCAAACUUCCACGUAGGUCCUAAACCCAAAAAAUUAUCAAUUAAUCAAAUUUUUCGUACCAUGUAGGCUACGAUAAACUGUUUACUGAGCUUUCCUGUAUCAUCAAGUUUUAUUGUUCUAGUUAGGUUCUCUGCUUAGAAUGUUUAAUUCAUCAUACUUGCAUGCUUAGCUUCUGAAACAUGUUGAAUGUGAUGAUAAAACAAGACUGUAGUUGACACUUGACAUGAAAAAAGAUGGAAAGAUGGCUCUGUCAUGAAGCAUUUGCUAUGUUGAAUAAGUUGCUGUGGAGUCAUCUAGGUCCCUCUCAUGGUCAGAUGUUCACACAUAUGCAUGCAUUGGUUGAAACACUGUGAAACCAAGGUAGAGCUAUAACCUGUUCCCAAAAUACGUGUGAUUCAUGUCUCUUUUUUUUUUUCACAGUUCAAAUGUAUUUAACUGGUUUAAACUUUAGAACUUGCCUCAUAUGUGGCCUUUAUUUAUAUAUACCUUUUAUCGGAUACUUGUAUCAAAUAUAUUUGUACUUGUGCUCUUCAGAAGAUUGAGAUGCUCUUUCAUUAGUAUUUUUAAAAAAUGCAGAUUAUGAUAUUUACUUUUAUGGUCUGCUAAUGUUGUCAUCUCAUUUAUUUGCAGCUAUCUGUGCUUAAAGAUUUGGUAUAAUGUGAUAACUUUGCUUCUUGCAGUUAUUCAGUAUGAGGCACGCUAAA